UACGUAGGGUGCAAGCGUUGUCCGGAAUUAUUGGGCGUAAAGAGCUCGUAGGCGGCUUGUCGCGUCGGAUGUGAAAGCCCGGGGCUUAACUCCGGGUCUGCAUUCGAUACGGGCAGGCUAGAGUUCGGUAGGGGAGAUCGGAAUUCCUGGUGUAGCGGUGAAAUGCGCAGAUAUCAGGAGGAACACCGGUGGCGAAGGCGGGUCUCUGGGCCGAUAUUGACGCUGAGGAGCGAAAGCGUGGGGAGCGAACAGG
rnacentral:rRNA from 1 species